rnacentral:rRNA from 1 species
UACGGGGGGAGCAAGCGUUAAUCGGAAUUACUGGGCGUAAAGCGUGCGCAGGCGGUUCGGAAAGAGAGGUGUGAAAUCCCAGGGCUUAACCUUGGAACUGCACUUCUAACUACCGGGCUAGAGUACGUCAGAGGGGGGUAGAAUUCCACGUGUAGCAGUGAAAUGCGUAGAGAUGUGGAGGAAUACCGAUGGCGAAGGCAGCCCCCUGGGAUGAUACUGACGCUCAUGCACGAAAGCGUGGGGAGCAAACAGG